rnacentral:rRNA from 1 species
UACGGGGGGGCAAGCGUUGUUCGGAAUUACUGGGCGUAAAGGGCUCGUAGGCGGCCAACUAAGUCGGAUGUGAAAUCCCCAGGCUCAACUUGGGAACUGCAUCCGAUACUGGAUGGCUUGAAUUCGGGAGAGGGAUGCGGAAUUCCAGGUGUAGCGGUGAAAUGCGUAGAUAUCUGGAGGAACACCGGUGGCGAAGGCGGCAUCCUGGACCGAGAUUGACGCUGAUGCGCGAAAGCCAGGGAGCAAACGGG